AACGAACGCUGGCGGCAGGCCUAACACAUGCAAGUCGAACGCUCCAGCAAUGGAGAGUGGCAGACGGGUGAGUAACGCGUGGGAACCUUCCCAGUGGUACGGAAUAGCUCAGGGAAACUUGAGGUAAUACCGUAUACGCCCUUCGGGGGAAAGAUUUAUCGCCAUUGGAUGGGCCCGCGUCGGAUUAGCUAGUUGGUGAGGUAACGGCUCACCAAGGCGACGAUCCGUAGCUGGUCUGAGAGGAUGAUCAGCCACACUGGGACUGAGACACGGCCCAGACUCCUACGGGAGGCAGCAGUGGGGAAUAUUGGACAAUGGGCGCAAGCCUGAUCCAGCCAUGCCGCGUGAGUGACGAAGGUCUUAGGGUUGUAAAGCUCUUUUGGCGGGGAAGAUAAUGACGGUACCCGCAGAAUAAGCUCCGGCUAACUUCGUGCCAGCAGCCGCCGUAACAC
rnacentral:rRNA from 1 species